UACGUAGGUGGCAAGCGUUGUCCGGAUUUACUGGGUGUAAAGGGCGUGCAGCCGGGCUGACAAGUCAGAUGUGAAAUACCGGGGCUCAACUCCGGGGCUGCGCUUGAAACUGUGUUUCUUGAGUGAAGUAGAGGCAGGCGGAAUUCCUAGUGUAGCGGUGGAAUGCGUAGAUAUUAGGAGGAACACCAGUGGCGAAGGCGGCCUGCUGGGCUUUAACUGACGCUGAUGCACGAAAGCAUGGGGAGCAAACAGG
rnacentral:rRNA from 1 species